CUAUAAUGAUAAUUAAAGAAUAAAGAACACUCACACUCAUGGUGAUCAUAGCUGGACUAGAUGCAGUUUUAAAAAGUGGUCCACUCAAGCAAUUUGUAUAAAAUCUCAAUUUAUGAUCUCUAGGCAUUUAACCAUCAUUAACACUAUAAGAAAUAUUAAAAAUGUAAAUAAAACUGGAAUCGUUUCCUUCAGAAUUACAGGUGGGAGAAGCAAUAGUCCAAUCUUCUCUUCUACUCAAGAAAAAUGUUUCUGGAGAUUAAAAGACAGAUAUGACAUUUGAGGUCUCAUUACAAUCUAUGUUAAAGCCCUUGAUCCACAAAAAAUCUCAGAUGACAAGUGACCUUGUUUAGGGAAUGACAAGCUCAAGUUUUGAGGAGAAGAUUGAGAGAAGAGAAAAUUCUGACCCUAUUAACGGGGUGUAAAGAAGAUGGGAGUUAUUGAGUUGUAGAAGAAAUAGAGAAUAUAAAUAAAUAAAAAGGACCAGUGGUCUAAGAUGGAUGGUGAACCUAAAGAAUCAUACAGGAAGAAACAGUCUUGAAAGAGACAAAGGACUUCUCAGAUCACGUCUAUGGAUGGCAAGAUGUUUGAAACACUGUAAGAGAAGACUUAGUAAACAAAAAAUGAGGAGUACCAGUUCAACGGAGACUAAAACAAUUACGGGAGCAGAUUAAGCUCAAAUAAAUGCAAAUUAUUCAGAUUAUUUCAGUAAAUUAUAAAUACAUACUAAGUGGUUGCCACAAUAAGUAAUGAAAAAAUAAAAUUUCAUCUAUUAGUGAUUAAAAGUUACAAUGUUCAUGAAAUAAUCUUAUUCUCAAAGUUAAUAAAAGUAAUAUUGGCUAGCACUUUUGAGUGCUUAUUAUAUGCCUGGCAUUAUGCUGUGUGCUUCAUACAUAUUUCCCAUGUAAUCCUUAAAAAUCUCCAGGAGCUGGUACUAAUGUUAUCAGCCUCAAUUUCCAGGUAAGGUUACAUAAUGUGUCCAGUUUGCACAGCUAGUAAGUGGUGGAGUCAGGAUUUAAUCCAAAACCUCAGCUCAUAAACAUUGCUCUAUAUCACAGUUAUGCCUUGGCAUACCUAAACACCUGGCAUAAAGUGGGAGUGAUUUAUUUGGGGGUUAGGGUCAGGAAUGGUAGGGGCUGGGGAGAGGAUAAUGCUGAGCUACCAGUUGAACAGAAUGUUUCAAUUACGUGUAUAUAAAAAUUUGAAACCAAUCUAGGACCCUCUUCUUUCAUUAAGACUCAGCACCACAGGGACAAACCUGCUACCACUUCCUUUCCCUUCUCCAACCCAAGCUACCUUGUUGUGACUCUAAGAAGAGUCAAGAGCCCCUCAGUGCUGUCUUUAAUAACCAUUUUCUCUAAUUCCAUGCUUAUAAAAAUCAUGGUAUGAGCACAGAUUAGACUUGUCCAAACUUUAUGAAAUUCCCUAGGUUCUAUAUUUCCCUGAUGAUGGCUUUCGAUAAAGUAUCCAUCUAUGAACUGAUAUUAUCUGUGAAGUUACUGCAACAAACAUAUUCUAUUUCCUCCUUGAUCUGGAGCGAUAGCUCCCCAAUUUAUGUUUCUAGAAAAGUAUUUAUUUUCCUCUUAACCUUUGACUCUUAAUUUCACCAGUUUUGGCUUGUCCAUGUCACAUCCAAAUUAUGGUCAUAAUCCUCACAUUCUUAUAAUACUUUUCCCUUCUACACUUCUAAGUGUGAUUUUAAGUUUUGUAAAAAUUAAAACGCUUACCCUAAAAUAUUAAAAAACAGAAGCUCCCUAUCACAUUCCUUUCUACUCCCAGACUUCCUAUUUCAAUUCUUUUUCUGAUCCUUCCAGUAUUAAAACCAUUUUUCUCAUUGGUUAGAUUCAUUUUUCUACAUGAUAGGCCUGUACAUUUUUCAUUUAUGUAUUAGACAUUAUCUAUUGAUUCCUGGUUUUAUCCUUGAGGACUCUGUACUCUUUUUACUCCCCAACGCUCUUAUAAUUAUUUAGUUAAAUCAUUAGUCAUUAUUAUUUUGUAAAUAUUGUUCACAAAUAAGUCAAAUUGUGUUUAGAGCUUUAUAUUUCUUUUGUUGUCAUCUUUGGCGUUCAUAAUCGGAUUCCUUUUUCAUGGUUGGUCCCCUAUGUUUUGUUAAUAUAUCCCAAAUAAAUGCCCCCCAACAAAUCUAUCAAUUGACUUGUUUUGAAUAUUCAAGUUCACAUACCAUACUUGUAAUUUCAAAUGCUCAAACAUUUCAGAUUUAUUUUUUCCUUGUUCCAGUGUGGUUUGGUUAUUCUCUAAGUAUGCAGUGCUGAGGCUGAAAUGGAACUUCUCCUCAAUCUUCUCUUGGUUUGGAUCCUCUCUGAAUUGAGUCUCACAUCAUCUUUUUUGUCUAAUCUCAUUUCCAGAAACAUGCCUCCCUAAUGGAAAUGUUCUAGGUCCUUGUGGAUUAUUCACAUUUGAAUGCUAUUUUUACUUGAAGUAGAAUCCUAACCUCAUUUUUUCCUUAGAAUUUGGAAGACCUCUCCAUUAUUUCCUAGCUUCCAGAGUUGUUGAGAAGUCUAAUGUCAUUGUGAUUUCUAGUUUAUUGCGUAUGGACUUCUUUCUCUCUAUAUACAUAUUUUUCCCUUUAUUCUUGGGAUGUCUAAAAUGUCAUAUUUUGUGUCUUGAUAUGGGUUAUUUUUUCAUUCCCUGUACUGCUCUCUCCAUGGCUCUCUCAAACUGAAAACACACAACCUCACAUCUGUGUUUCUUUGAUAAAUUCUUCAUCUAUCCUUCUCUGCUCUCUCUUUCUAGAAAUCUGUUUAGUCCAAUGUUAGACAUCCUGGAUUGGUGCUCUUAUUGUAUCAUAUUUCGCUGUUUUCCACUUUUUUAUUUUCACUUUUUGGCUUUGGGUUUUUUUUUUUACUUUCUAGGAAAUUCCAUUACUUUUUCUACCAAUUAUUC